rnacentral:lncRNA from 12 species
GGGGGGGGGGGGGGGGGGGGGGGGGGGGGGGGGGGGGGGGGGGGGGGGGGGGGGGGGUCGCAGGCUGCCGCCGCCCCGCUCCGCCAGCCGCCGCGUGCCCUUGCGGUGCACCCGCGCCAGCGGAAUCCUGGGAUGCGUUCGGAAGAGCAGUGCCGGCAGGUCGAUGGGGUGAUCCCGGCCCUGAACUCAGCCCUAGUCAGGCCUGAGCUGCCGUGUUCAACUCUGAGCUCCACAGCUCGAGAAAAACGCGGAGGUACUGGAAGGGGUCCAGAGGAGGCCACAAAGGUGAUCUGGGGUCUGGAGCAUCUCUCUCAUGAGGAGAGAUUGCAGGAACUGGGCCUGCCCAGUCUGCAGAAGAGACCACCGAGAGGGGAUCUCAUUAAGGCACACAAGUGUCUCAAAGGGAAGAAACCUUUGAAGUACUUCCUGAGCCUGUACCUGGUUUAGGCUUGCUUCUGGUAGAGCUCAGAGUCUGCGCACCUGCCAUGUGGACUCCAACGCAAUUUAACUGGCAGUCUCCCUCACCUGAGAGAUUCAAGAGCUGUCUGGAUGUAAUCAUGAACCAUGUCCUCUAGGGUGGUCCUGCUUGAGGAGGAAGAUUGGACCUGAUAUCCUUCCAGCCUGACCCAUUCGGUGAUUCUGAGUUAUUCUUUAUGCACAGCUCCCUGAAAUGGUGCCUUGACAGCAAGUCUGCCACCUGUGAUGUUCUGUACUCAAAGACUUCUCCUGGAAAGGAGGAUUGCAUCUCUGCUCUAGUGUAACCACCAGGAACAUCACCUCAGUGUUUGACCUUUCCUAGAAAAGGAGAUAUGGGCUUGGUGCUGUAAAUAUUCAGCACAAAAAUGCUCAGCUCAUCAGAAAGAAUGUUCUGUUCUUAAAGCUAGAAAUGAGUGUACCUCCCACGUGGCUGGUCUCCUCUGCCUGUCUGCUUUCUGCAUUAAUAAAUGCUUAUAAUUUCCAUCAGUUGUGAAUGGGUCCCAAAUCUGCUUCCUAAAUAAAAAAAAA